GCGAGGAUUGCCCAGCCAAGUCAAAGGCGCCAGAUUCAGAGUCUAGUCUCGUAGGAGUUCUUGCGUUCGAAUUGCACUCCUCGCA
rnacentral:tRNA from 1 species